UCUGCCUGCAAUGCUUUGAUUUCUGGAGAGAAGGUCGAAUACAUGUGUACCUUCUUUCGUGAGAGAUACUCCUUGGCGGUCUUGAUGUAGAAUUCCCCGCCUCUGUCGCAAAAGAUGUGUGUAGGUACGUUACCUCCCCGAAAAAGUCUUAUCAUGGCCCUUUUCAUUUCGGCGGGGCUCUUCGUCUUUAGUGGGAGGGUGUGCAGAAAGCGGGAGAGGGAAUCGAUUGCCACGAGAAUGUAGCGGUAGCCACCGUUGAAUCUCUUGUAUUUUGAAUAAUCGGCGAGGUCCAUUUGCCACACGUCGUUGAUCUUGAGCGCGAUGAUGCGUCUACUAUUAAACUUUCUUCUGACCGGAUGGUGUAGCGUGUAGGCAUCCAGCUUUCUGAGAAUGGCGAGAGCCUUCUUUUUGCUCAAGUGAUGCGCUUUUCUAUAGCGUUCCACACACCCCAAACCACCCUCUGGUUUCUCAUAUCCCUCCAUAAGUCGUCCACGCAAUGGAGGCCUGCUGCUGCUGUUGAGGCUCGCGAGAUUUGGGCAGAGAAAUCAGGCGCAAUAGUUUCGAGACUUUGGGGAACCAGGAAGGUUUCUUUCCCGUCUUACGUUGCAACAAAUAAUUGACGAGUUCGUAAACGGAGGAGUGUCUGAUGGGCUUGCCCGACACGGAGACACAACCCUCGCGAUUCCAGGAAAGAACCUUCUUUAAUUCCGAGACGACCCUUUCCGCUUCCUCUUCGUCCACCUUGUGGGAUAACGCGGCCACACGGCGGCGCCGUUAUCUCGCCGGGAGAGGGCAAACUGGCUGUCUCUCCCGGCGAAGAUUAUUUAACUCGAGACCGAAUAGGCAGGAGGCCUCUUUUGGCUGAGUGGAGCGCGGUUCUCGAAGGAUUGCUCCCGCCCGGUUCACUUGGAGACAGUCCAUGCCCCGCCCGAGGUCCCGAACCCCCCGUCGGUACCCUCCACCUCCACUGUCCAGUCGGCCCACCCAACCGGCUCUGGUCCACUCCGCCUCCCGGCCGCUCCACCAUGUUGCCACUUGGACCACGCUAGAUGACCUAGGAGAAGCCAGCAUCAGCUACGUCUCCCGACGACGCUGGCGGGACCAAGCUCGACCCUUGCGGGGAGACCCCCCAUCUGCGAUCCCAGAACCCUUCAGGGGGUUCACCCUUGAGGAACGGUUCCCCUCCGAACCACCAGCACUCUACAGCCCGGAGGAAGUGCUGAGACUGUGCCCCAUCUGCCAGGUGCCCCAAAUUCACACCGAGACCCAUCGCCGUGGGUCCCUCCACCUCGGCCGCACCCAAGGAGCACCAGCCCCGUCUAAUCCGGUGAACCUGCAUGACCUCCAGGCAGCUCUAGCUGUUAUUCGUCGUCUACAGCCGGAACUUUUGGCCCCUUCCCACCAGCUUCCUCGCACACAAGAAGAUCAUCUCCUUGAUCUCCCGGACCUACCGGACAUUUGAUUUGUGACUUGACUCCUUCGCUUAGUGGGGGAAGGUGUGGGAUAACGCGGCCACACGGCGGCGCCGUUAUCUCGCCGGGAGAGGGCAAACUGGCUGUCUCUCCCGGCGAAGAUUAUUUAACUCGAGACCGAAUAGGCAGGAGGCCUCUUUUGGCUGAGUGGAGCGCGGUUCUCGAAGGAUUGCUCCCGCCCGGUUCACUUGGAGACAGUCCAUGUAAGUUCAUAGGAAUGUUUCCCCGUGUACGCUUCCCUGUUGAUUGAUUAAAGAGUUGUGCUUUUCACGUC